rnacentral:rRNA from 1 species
UACGGAGGGUGCGAGCGUUGUCCGGAAUCAUUGGGCGUAAAGGGCGCGUAGGUGGCCCGGUCAGUUCGUGGUGAAAGCGCGGGGCUCAACCCUGCGUCGGCCAUGAAUACUGCCGCGGCUGGAGCACUGUAGAGGCAGGCGGAAUUCCGGGUGUAGGCGGUGGAAUGCGUAGAGAUCCGGAAGAACACCGGUGGCGAAGGCGGCCUGCUGGG